UCUGUCUUUUUUCUUUUCCAGAGAAAUCCAAGUCUUUAUCAUUUUGUUUAUUGCUUUUAGUUCUACACUGUGGUUGCUGCUGUUAUGGUCUAAUAAUUGGGAAGUCUAGAGUCUUUGAAUUUUGCCUUUUAGAGAUGGCGUUAACUUCAUCUUGCUCAUGCCUCUGCUGGACAAUUGUCCUUUCACAGUUGAUAUUGCGCAGUUUAUAUUGUUUGGAAUUGAAACUCAAGAGCUUUCUCUUUUCUCAAUUCCCAAGACCAGAAUGAGUCCUUCUCUUUAAGAAAGGAGAAUGGGUGGGGAGGAAGACUAGUAUAUUUGGAAGGGACACAAGCUAUGCUAGACAAGAAUCUGACCUAGGUUUAUGGAGACGGGGAGAAGAGACUAGGAGGUAAGAGAACAGCUCCAUCUCUAUAGGUUCUUAAGCGUCCUGCAGUUUCCCAAGGAGCUCUGAGAAUUGGCUACAUUCAUUGUGCUAAUAAAAAUCAUGUGGGUGUUAUUUUGAACUGCAUACUCAUAUAUCCGUUGAUAUAGUCAUCAGUCAUUGUCUAAAAGAAGUAUUUGUGAAUCAUCGGAGGGUUCCAUGUUAGGGAGUCAAUGCUGUGUGUGUGUGUGUGAUAAAGCACUAAAAUGAAAUUGAUUGCUUUGG